AUUGAACGCUGGCGGCAUGCCUUACACAUGCAAGUCGAACGGCAGCAUGAUCUAGCUUGCUAGAUUGAUGGCGAGUGGCGAACGGGUGAGUAAUACAUCGGAACGUGCCCGGUAGUGGGGGAUAACUAGUCGAAAGAUUAGCUAAUACCGCAUACGACCUGAGGGUGAAAGUGGGGGACCGCAAGGCCUCAUGCUAUAGGAGCGGCCGAUGUCUGAUUAGCUAGUUGGUGAGGUAAAGGCUCACCAAGGCGACGAUCAGUAGCUGGUCUGAGAGGACGAUCAGCCACACUGGGACUGAGACACGGCCCAGACUCCUACGGGAGGCAGCAGUGGGGAAUUUUGGACAAUGGGCGAAAGCCUGAUCCAGCAAUGCCGCGUGUGUGAAGAAGGCCUUCGGGUUGUAAAGCACUUUUGUACGGAAAGAAAUGGCUCUGGUUAAUACCUGGGGUCGAUGACGGUACCGUAAGAAUAAGGACCGGCUAACUACGUG
rnacentral:rRNA from 1 species